AACAGGAUUAGAUACCCUGGUAGUCCACGCCGUAAACGAUGUCGACUUGGAGGUUGUUCCCUUGAGGAGUGGCUUCCGGAGCUAACGCGUUAAGUCGACCGCCUGGGGAGUACGGCCGCAAGGUUAAAACUCAAAUGAAUUGACGGGGGCCCGCACAAGCGGUGGAGCAUGUGGUUUAAUUCGAUGCAACGCGAAGAACCUUACCUACUCUUGACAUCCACGGAAUUCGGCAGAGAUGCCUUAGUGCCUUCGGGAACCGUGAGACAGGUGCUGCAUGGCUGUCGUCAGCUCGUGUUGUGAAAUGUUGGGUUAAGUCCCGCAACGAGCGCAACCCUUAUCCUUUGUUGCCAGCGGUUAGGCCGGGAACUCAAAGGAGACUGCCAGUGAUAAACUGGAGGAAGGUGGGGAUGACGUCAAGUCAUCAUGGCCCUUACGACCAGGGCUACACACGUGCUACAAUGGCAUAUACAAAGAGAAGCGACCUCGCGAGAGCAAGCGGACCUCAUAAAGUAUGUCGUAGUCCGGAUUGGAGUCUGCAACUCGACUCCAUGAAGUCGGAAUCGCUAGUAAUCGUAGAUCAGAAUGCUACGGUGAAUACGUUCCCGGGCCUUGUACACACCGCCCGUCACACCAUGGGAGUGGGUUGCAAAAGAAGUAGGUAGCUUAACCUUCGGGAGGGCGCUUACCACUUUGUGAUUCAUGACUGGGGUGAAGUCGUAACAAGGUAACC
rnacentral:rRNA from 1 species